rnacentral:rRNA from 1 species
AUAGCGUAUAUUAAAGUUGUUGUGGUUAAAAAGCUCGUAGUUGAACCUUGGGCCUGGCUGGCCGGUCCGCCUCACCGCGUGUACUGGUCCGGCCGGGCCUUUCCCUCUGUGGAACCCCAUGCCCUUCACUGGGUGUGGCGGGGAAACAGGACUUUUACUUUGAAAAAAUUAGAGUGCUCCAGGCAGGCCUAUGCUCGGAUACAUUAGCAUGGAAUAAUAGAAUAGGACGUGUGGUUCUAUUUUGUUGGUUUCUAGGACUGCCGUAAUGAUUAAUAGGGAUAGUCGGGGGCAUCCGUAUUCAAUUGUCAGAGGUGAAAUUCUUGGAUUUAUUGAAGACGAACUACUG